AAGCACACUACGGUGUCGUCACUCACCCCAUUGCAGCCCUUCCCCCAUGCCGAAGACAUCCACACCACUUCUUCACUUAAGAGGCACCUGGAAGCAGGAAGAGGAAGUGACAAGAAACCCUGCAGAGCCCUGUUGCUGGACUGCAAAUCCCAGAAAACCUUGGGGGCAGGAGGAAGAGGAGGCAACCUCUGAGUCCUGGCUGGCUACCUUGCUAGGUUGCCUGGGGGCGAUGAUGCCUGCUGUGAGAUGAUCUGAAGGAGAGGGAAGCCUGUACACCAGGGGUGUCCAACCUUUUUGGAUGUGGGGCAAGAUCAUGAACGUUUUAUCACCCAGUGGGCCAGCGAGCCAUAUUCAAAGACCUCACCGGAAGUGGUAUCACAUCGGGAAGUGAUGUCACGUGACCUUUGACACCAAUGAAGUUGCAGGAAAUGACAAUGAAAUGGGUCUGGAAAUGUGGUUUAAAAUCCAAAAUAAAAACAAUAUAAAAGCAAGAAUGAAAUAAUACCAAACACUUGACUAAAAUAAACACUUUCGCUUCUACUCACUUCUCAAUGAAUGAAAGAGCAUAAUGCAAGUUGACAGAUCAAAUGUCGAAAAGAGAUCAGCCAGAGUGGAAACUAAUCAAAGCAACAAAAUAUGGGCAUUUUUGAGAAUAAUCUUCAAGAAGAUUGACUUUUAUUGAAUUAAUAACUAGUUAUGACUAAAGGUUACAUAAUGAAACCCUGGUUUUAAAUGUUGACCAUAGUUUAAAUAGCAACAUCAGAAGGGCUUGUCAGCGUCAUCCAGUCUUAAAAUAAAUUGCCCUUUUCUACACAGAGAUUGAUGGAAGCAUGAAACUUGACUGCUAGGGAAGCCCAUCUGAAGAUAUGUGCUCCCUUCACACCUCCCUACUCAUUCCUACAGGUGUUCCUAAUACCCCCUCUUCCCACCCCCACACAAAUGCUCCCUAUACCCUUCCCUACAUGCACCCCCUAUUCAUCCCUACACCCACUUCCAGCCCCCCCACAUCACUAUGAGCCCCCCCCACACAUAUCCUCCUUGUUGACCCUUUCACCCCAAUACUGCCCUCACAUACAGACCCCUGCACCUACACCCAACACACAUACAGGCAACACUCACCCACCAAAUUGUCAAGGGACCUGCAUGCAGCCUCUCACCCUCAUAAGAUUCCAGUGAUUCAAUUGCUGGCAGCCUGAUUUUGAGCAAAGCACAUCUAGUGUAGUCCUCACAGUGCACCAGACCAACAGCUCCCACUUUUAAUAAGGGCUGGGGCAUUAGGAUCCCCAGUUGUGGCUGGACAUAGAGUGCUUCUGGGCUCGGCUCCUCCUGCCUCCUGCCCAGCCUGGCUCCAGCAACUGCGUGCCCCGCAGCCCCGGCCUGGCCCCAAGGGGCCCCAGCUCUGCGCGGGAUCUUACCCAUGCCUCCAUCCACCACGCAUGCAGGCAGGGUGUGGGCCAUGCUGCAACUCCCCUGGCCAUGUGCCGGGGGCAAGGGGCAGAGCCAGAGAAGAAGCUGCACAUGCUGUCCCCAGCUUGUCUAAUCAGCUGUAGCUGGGGCAGCCCUGCACCGUGCAGCCCUCGGGGCAGUGGUGGCAGGACCUGGCUCACUGAUGAGCCCAGCCCCGUGGGGGUAAGCAGCUCCCCUCCCCUCACUGCCAGCUGGGGCCUGCAGGCCAGCCCUCCCCUGCCUGCCUCACCUUGCCUCGCUGCUGCCUCACUGCCACCACCACGGCUCCACACUCCGCAGUGGUGGUGGCGCUGCGGGCCAGAUAAAAUGGUUUGGCGGGCUGAAUGGUGACCCGUGGGACAUAUGUUGGACAAACCUGCUCUACACAGCAUAGAUGAGCCACAGACUGACUGCACGUGAUCCCUUACCUACAGACCUGCACAGAGCAACUCUGAAUUAAAGGCUGGUUCUUGGGAACACUGAGGUGGGCAGGCGACCUUAUGUGCUGAAUGUAUGUACCCCAGCGGUACUGAUCACUACCUGUUUAUUUUCCCUUUAAGUGUAUGUUGUUAUACUUUGGAUGCCUAUGUACUUGUAUUUGUUCCUUCCCAUUGGCCUGUGACCCUAACCCCUAGGAUACUCAAUAUAAAGUAAAUCCCUCA